CGGGUUUCGCGGCGAACGGGCU
rnacentral:miRNA from 11 species